rnacentral:rRNA from 2 species
AACUUUUAACAACGGAUCUCUUGGCUCUCGCAUCGAUGAAGAACGCAGCGAAAUGCGAUAAGUAAUGUGAAUUGCAGAAUUCAGUGAAUCAUCGAAUCUUUGAACGCACCUUGCGCUCUUUGGUAUUCCGAAGAGCAUGCCUGUUUGAGUGUCA